UGAAAUAUUCACGUGAAGCUCAUCUCUGUAUCAAACAUCAGUCCUUUAUAUUGAUCACGGGUAGGCUUGUCUAUCAAACAUCAGUACUUCAGAUACUUCAGAUUCAUCACAGGCACUUCAGAUUCAUCACGGGUGGGCUUCACAGAGAAGACUGAUUUUAUAAAUAAUGAAUCCACCCAACCCGCUCUAUACUGGUAUCAUCUUUCACAAAUCGAGUUCCUUACGAUUUGUGCGUUGUGGAAGAUUCUUAUUACGGGCAACGAAACAACGACGACUGCGACGUCAAAUUGAUGAAAUUUAUUGUCGAAUCCGACGAAAAAACAGUGCUACCUUAAGUCAGUAUACACAUUCCAUCACCGGCGAUAAUUAUUCAAGUCCCACGAAUCUAAUGGAUGAAAAUAAUUCUGAUGACAACCAAGAAACAAAAAUGUGGACGGCUAGAAGUGAAACAAAAUUAAUUAAUAUGUUGAGAGAUGAGGUUAGAAAAAAUCAAACAACUGGCCGUACUACUUCGUGGACAAUUAGGCAUUGGAAUCAUUAUGCAAAUCAGUUGCACAAUUUGUAUAGAUUUCGGUAUACAGC